GAGCACUGGGGGCCGGCUGCUCCCCGCCACGGCUCGGAGCUGGGGGUCGGCAGUGCGGGCGGGGGCGAACGCGAUCGCGGAGGGGAACGGGGCUCUCCGCGCCGAGUAUGCGUCCUGCGGCGGUCUGCUUUUCUCGGGCUCGGGUUAAAUCGCUCUGUAAGUCUGUCUUGAGUCCGCAGCUAGUGGCCCACUCCGCUGUCUCUUCCUCCUGUUGCAGGUCUGUUUCUGGCUCUCUGCCCUCUUGGGUCCACGCGUCCGCCAGCACACACGCGCAAUCUGGAGUGUACGUGACUGAAGGUUAAUCAUCAGAGGUUCCUGUUGUGGUUCGAUUAAAUUGUCCAAGGCUCUGCCAACACAACUCUUCCCUCUUUAGCAAAUAACUGAGAUGGGACUAGUGGGUUUAAAAGGGUUGCAGUUCCCCAGUGCCUGGUCCAGGCGGCAUCAGUGUGUAUGGGAGAAUGGGCGAGAUAUUCCGAGGUGCUAAAUGGGACAGGUUAGGAGAAAAAUGAUUUCAAUGGAGAAGUAGUUUGCUUUUGACCGCCAAAACUCUGCAGUCAGAAACACCCCAGAAGUAUCUUGACUUACUAGGUAAAUCUAAGUGUGUGGAUGACAAAGUAAGAUAUAUAAAAGCAGCUUGAACAAGGCUUUCACUUUGAAGGUCUGACUUUAUUCGAAAGCAGCCCCAUGUACCUCUUGUGUUAUGCGUCUGUAUGCUGUAUUCUUACUGAUUGAAAAUACACUUCACCAACAGAUGGUCGUUUAUGGUUUGAAAAAAAAUCAAGCAAAAACAAAUCUAAAUCUAGAUUAGCAUGACUAGGCAAGCCAUUGCAUAUGUAUACUCAUUUUUUUAGUUUCAGUAGGCAAUCCUUAUUAUAUAAUGCUUAUUCAGCUCUACAAAUAGAAGCUUCAUUGCAGGAUAUUUAUGGUCUAUGCAACUAGCAGUGGAAUUCUGUAUUAUAAAUCAUUCAAUUUCAAAAAAUAGCAAGAUAUUUAAAGAGAAAAAGUAAUGUUACUCUUGUUCUUAGGACUGAACCUACUUUAUUACCCUAAAAUGAAGUUCCAGGUGUAUUUAUUUGUUAUGUAUAAAACAUUACUGCCAUUCACAGAGUACUGUAUUCCAGGACCUUUAUCAAGCUCUAUGUGCAUGCUCUAAUUUGAACCCCACCAAUCCUUUGAAGUAAGUGUUAUACCAAUAGUGUGGAUGCAGAAAUGAAGACUCAGGUUAAGUAACUUGGCGAAGCAGAUUCUGGAUUGUCAGGCAACAGAGUGCAUCCUCAGAGAUGACCAUCCUACUUGUAUUCAUUUGUAAGUGGUUUGAUUAUAUUAGGCCUGGAAACUUUUAUUUAUAUGCCACUAAAAAUAGUCAGGAUAAGAAACAGCCCUCCAGAGGACAUUUUAUGUAUCAUUGUUUGUGUCCCAAAUUUUGAGAGAUAGCAGUUGGGGUGUAUGGGGAGAUGAUUCUAAGUGCUAUGGUGGAAGGUGGUAGAAAGUGACCUCAAGAUAAUUAUAUAAAGAGCCAGGCACAGUGCAACAUGCCUGAAAUCCUAGUAACUCAGGAGGCUGAGGCAGUAGGAUUGCAAGACCAAAGCUAGCCUCAGCAAUUUAGUGAGGGCUCAAAUAACUUAGUGAGACCCUGUCUCAAAAUAAAGUAUAAAAAUGCGUUGGGGAGAUGGCUCAGUGAUUAGACCCCCCUGGGUUCAAUCCCUUAUAUCAAAUAAUAAUAAUAAUGUAAAGAUCAUGACUGAAGCUCAACUAUAAGGAACAGAAUGAGUAGUCCAAGCAGUAUUUCUUUCUAAGCAUUUCUUUAAAGACGAGUUGGAUAUCUAUUAUUAAUCAGGACCAUAAUAAAAUAGCAGAGUAUUUAUGUUAUAGUUAUAACCCCUUAGUGAUUGUGAAAUUCAUUUAGUGUGUCAUGAUGGGUGUUUUAAAAAAUAAAACAUUAGAAAACAUCAGAAUACAUUGCCCAAUGUAAGUAAUGUGUAUUGUUUUGUGAAAUUUUGGUUUUAUUUAUGUGUGUAUGUGUAUGGAUGCACAAGUAUCCAUUGUCAAGUCACAAUAUAAAAGGAAUUUCUUUGGUUGCUAUUGGAAAAGCUCGAAAUACAUUGUGAUAGGAAAAUACAGAACUUAAGAAGCCAGAUGCCAGCUGUAAAAGAAAGAAAAAAAUGUGU
rnacentral:lncRNA from 1 species